AAGAAGAAGUAUAAGAAGAUGAUGACAAUUUCUACUCUGGUGCCUCUCUUUCUUCUUCUUCUUCUUCUUCUUCUUCUUGUCCCUUUUCUGACGCACACCUACUACUGAAUAACACAGGGAGCACUAGCAGGAAAAGUGGCACUCUCAAAAAAAAG
rnacentral:ribozyme from 14 species